rnacentral:rRNA from 1 species
CCUACGGGUGGCAGCAGUGAGGAAUAUUGGUCAAUGGGCGGAAGCCUGAACCAGCCAAGUCGCGUGAGGGAUUAAGGCCCUAUGGGUCGUAAACCUCUUUUGUCAGGGAGCAAGGUCGUCCACGUGUGGGCGUAUGGAGAGUACCUGAAGAAAAAGCAUCGGCUAACUCCGUGCCAGCAGCCGCGGUAAUACGGAGGAUGCGAGCGUUAUCCGGAUUUAUUGGGUUUAAAGGGUGCGCAGGCGGCCUGUUAAGUCAGCGGUAAAAGCCCGGGGCUCAACCCCGGCGAGCCGUUGAAACUGGCGGGCUGGAGUUGGAGAGAAGUACGCGGAAUGCGCGGUGUAGCGGUGAAAUGCUUAGAUAUCGCGCAGAACCCCGAUUGCGAAGGCAGCGUACCGGCUCCACACUGACGCUGAGGCACGAAAGCGUGGGUAUCGAACAGGAUUAGAUACCCGAGUAGUC